AUUGAAAACUUUAUUACAUGUGUUGACACAUUUUCUUAAAAAUUUAUUUAAUUUUGAAUUUUGAAAUAUCGAAAAAAAAGAAACGAAGCAUUGAAAGAAAAAAAAGAAACGAAGCAUUGUACCUUACAAAAAUAUCAAUAACCAGAAAAUCCGUGAAAGACAAGAAAAGUGGAAGAACAAAGUUCUGAUCUAGAAUGAGGAUACAACAUUUGAGUCUUCAGACCUAAGGUUACCGCAAUUCGCCACAUUCCUUCCUUUUUAUACCCUACACCACAUAAUGCAUAACAACAAAUUUGAUCUGUUUCACCUCGUGGUCUCGUAUGGUCUAAAGCAUCCCUAGAGUUCUUCAAACCAAAAAAUUAUUAGACAACUUUGCAAUAUAUAAAUAUGACCAGAAUUUUUAAUCCCCACACACGCAAACCCACCAUCGAGGAUCACUUUACGGCCAGAGAAUUUGUUUUCUUGCCGAGUAUGAGAACUAACUAACAAAACUUUAUGAAAAGUGAAUAAACACUUUUGGUGUUUGCGUUUGGGUGUGUGUGUGUGUGUUCAGUGACCGACUGUUGGCCAAGCCUGGCUAUGCGUGUGUGUGUGUGUGAGCGCGUCUCAAAAUCAAGUGCUUGAGAACAAAUCUGAUUGUAGAGGCUGCUACUGCUGCUGCUAGCAUUUUUGGGCGAUAUGUUUGUGAUAUGGCUUUGUUCUUAAUUGUGUCCAUAAUGUACGAUUGUAGGUUUCUAUUAUACACACACAUAUACAUUUAUUUAAGGAAUGUUCAUUUCCAUGCCCGAUUCAGUUCUUUGUUGAUUUUCUAGAAAAAAAAUAAGCUAAAUAUACACAGACACACGCUCACUUAAAAUUAUACAACAAAACGGAAUAGUUGCAAUGGUUGAUGGUGCCAAAGCAACAGUCGGAUAUGAGUUAUUUCAUAAAUGUUGUUAAAAGAUUAAAUUAUGUUUGGUUUCGAUUUAUAAAACCAGUAAGGAAGGGUCAAAGUCGGGGGGUUGGUCCGACUAUAUGAUACCCUGCACCACUAUGCGUAUUUAGUAGAGCUCCCGUAACAAAAAAGUGUAUAUUGGAAAUUUAUGUGAGGUAGAUCAUACCAACUAUAAACCUUAUUGGA